AGUUUGUCAUCAAGCAGCAUUCGAGGCUUGUUCCCGCUGUGGAACACUUUCCACACAAUACAACAUCGUCAUCGACAAAGUGCGUCCUUGAGAACUGUGCGAUCAAAUAUAACAACGAAUACAACAACGAAAUCGGAGACGGCAGAAACCUGACAGUGGCAGACUGGGCACACCUGGAUGACACACAGACACGGCAAUGCCAUAGGCACCAGGGAGUUUGCAAGUGGGUCGGGCAGGUUUGGGGAGAGCAGAGGUGGCCCCAAGGGCAUAGCUUGUCCCACAGUGGGAGUCCAGUUGUCUGGGUGAGGAGGGGGAGAGGGUUGUUCUAGACGGAGGGAGCUGUGAGUGCCAGGGGCAGAAAGGG
rnacentral:lncRNA from 1 species